UACGGAGGUGCAAGCGUUAUCCGGAUUUACUGGGUUUAAAGGUGCGUAGGUGGGUAGGAAGUCAGUGGUGAAAUCUUCGGGCUUAACCCGGAAACUGCCAUUGAUACUAUUAUCUUGAAUACUUUGGAGGUAAGCGGAAUAUGUCAUGUAGGCGGUGAAAUGCUUAGAUAUGACAUAGAACACCAAUUGCGAAGGCAGCUCGCUACACUAUUAUUGACACUGAGGCACGAAAGCGUGGG
rnacentral:rRNA from 1 species